rnacentral:rRNA from 1 species
UACGUAGGAGGCAAGCGUUGUCCGGAAUCACUGGGCGUAAAGGGCGCGUAGGCGGCCAUUCAAGUCGGGGGUGAAAGCCUGUGGCUCAACCACAGAAUUGCCUUCGAUACUGUUUGGCUUGAGUAUGGCAGAGGUCAGUGGAACUGCGAGUGUAGAGGUGAAAUUCGUAGAUAUUCGCAAGAACACCAGUGGCGAAGGCGGACUGACUGGGCCAUUACUGACGCUGAGGCGCGAAAGCCAGGGGAGCAAAGCGGGG